UCGCGGGAUGGAGCAGUCUGGUAGCUCGUCGGGCUCAUAACCCGAAGGUCGUAGGUUCAAACCCUACUCCCGCAAU
rnacentral:tRNA from 3 species